GUCCACGCUGUAAACGAUGGCAACUGGGUGUCUCGGGUAUUGACCCCCCGAUGCGCCGAAGUCAACACGUUAAGUUGCCCGCCUGGGAAGUACGGCCGCAAGGCUAAAACUCAAAGGAAUUGACGGGGGCCCGCACAAGCGGUGGAGCAUGUGGUUUAAUUCGACGCAACGCGAAGAACCUUACCUGGACUCGAAAAUGCAGGAAGUUGGCUGAAAGGCUGAUGUGCUCGCAAGAGAGCCUGUAUCAGGUGCUGCAUGGCUGUCGU
rnacentral:rRNA from 1 species